GUUCUGACAUCAUUUUUUCUAUGGAAACUUUUGUGAUCACCCACAGUCCCCCAUUUGACAUGACAGCACCACCUUCACCCCCACCUCUGGUCCAUGUUGCCUGUUCUGUGUGAUUCUUUUUGCUCCUUCACUGUUCAUUGGAUCCUGGUGGGAACAAGUCCCCAAGUGGAGAGCAGAGCCAGAAGGAUUGAUUUCCAAAGACUUAUGUGAGAAAGACAUCAAGAAGAGCAAAGAAAAGGAGCCAGGGAUGGCUCUUCCUCAGGAUUGAUUUCUAAAGACUCAUGUUACAUGGGGAAGCCACUCAGAAGAGGAAAGGAAAGGAACCAGGCGUUGGCUCUUCCUCAGGUGAAGUGAUAUUCCUCUUUGGAUUAAUCUAUCUCUUUCCUUUCUGAAAUGCCAGGUAUUUAGUAGCCAGUCAUUUCUGAGUCUGAAGCAUUUUGCCUGAC
rnacentral:lncRNA from 1 species